rnacentral:rRNA from 1 species
UACAGAGGGGGCAAGCGUUGUUCGGAAUUACUGGGCGUAAAGGGCGCGUAGGCGGCCUUCUAAGUCAGACGUGAAAUCCCUCGGCUCAACCGGGGAACUGCGUCUGAGACUGGAAGGCUUGAAUCCGGGAGAGGGAUGUGGAAUUCCAGGUGUAGCGGUGAAAUGCGUAGAUAUCUGGAGGAACACCGGUGGCGAAGGCGGCAUCCUGGACCGAGAUUGACGCUGAUGCGCGAAAGCCAGGGGAGCAAACGGG